UUCCAUGAAAAGGAGUUACAGCACCAUCAGAUUCUAAUAAGGAGGCUAACCGAUCAAGUGGAUCUGCAAUCCAACCCGGAAGCAAAAUUCUCAAUCUGACUUUAUUAGCUACCCAAUCUGCACAUUUGUUAGCAAACCGAAAGAGAGUUAAUCUAUUUUAUACUAGGGCUGUAAUCUUUAGACAGAAAACAUAAUUACUGCUCUAAGUGCCACGCCUUCUGAUGAAAGGGGCGGAAUAACUAACAAAAGAAGCUGCACAUCCAUCCAGAAGCUUCCCCAUUGAGUCACGCAUUAGAAUCCCACAACCUACUGCUGGCGAUGGUGAGUCAUAUGAACCAUCCAUAUUUAAUAAUUCCUUGAGAUGGAAAGGUCUAGUGUCCUGGAUUAUGCUGAGAGCAAUUCUGAAUUGAGGGCAAAGAAUGGUUUUGUGGAGAUGACAGAGAUUUCACCUCAUCAAAAUCAUUCUGAGCUCUCCUAAUAGUUAGGAGAGGAUUUGGAUCCACCGCUUGAAAAAUUGCAGCAUUCGUACUUUUCCAAAUAUGCUAGCACGAAAAGCUAGCCAAUCUUAUAUGAAAGUGAUAUGGAUUUGUGAAAUUAGCCAAAAGAAAUUGCCUCCUAUUAAGAAAAGAACCGACAUCACCUUCUCUCAGGGAAAUUCCCAAUGGCAAUCCAAACCUCGACAUUCUUGCAUGAGGGCGUUAAAACAACAUAUGCUCUAGAGUCGCAACAAGGCAAUCACACCAGGACAAUUAAGGGAGUCUGAGCACUUUCUUUUGAAUAUAUUUUCUUUAGCGGCAAGGGAGUUGCCACAACAUCUCCAGAUGAAAUUUUGAAUCUUUUGAGGCACUUGGAGGGACCAAAUUUGAUUCCAAAAAGAUGGGGAUGAAGGUAAAGAAGUUGAUGCAGCUGGAAGCACAGAUUCUUGAUCACUAGCCAUCUUAAGCUUAAAGUAUAGAGCUUUAACUGGCAGUGCACUAUCUUUGGAAAAG
rnacentral:misc_RNA from 1 species